GAUAAACGCUGGCGGCGUGCAUAACACAUGCAAGUCGAACGAAGGGGCGAACGGGUGAGGAACACGGGAGUAACAUGCCUUACACAAGGGGAUAGCCUCUGGAAAAGGAGAAUAAUACUCUAGAGUGUAAGAGGGACUUGCGUCUGAGUAGCUAGUUGGUGAGAUAAAAGCUCACCAAGGCGACGCUCGGUAGCCGGCUUUGGAGAGUGUACGGCCACAUUGGGACUGAGACACGGCCCAAACUCGACGGGUGGCAGCAGUGGGGAAUUUGGCACGAUGGGGGAAACCAUGAUGCAGCGGCGCCGCGUAAUUUAGAAAGCCUUCGGGUUGUAAAAAUCUUUUUUACGGGAUUCAGUACCGUAAGAAUAAGGUCCGGCUAAAUACGUGCCAGCAGCCGCGGUAAUAC
rnacentral:rRNA from 1 species